UCUGUCACNGACGCUGAGGCUCGAAAGCGUGGGUAGCGAACAGGAUUAGAUACCCUGGUAGUNCACGCCGUAAACGAUGAGUGCUAGGUGUUAGGCCCUUUCCGGGGCUUAGUGCCGGAGCUAACGCAAUAAGCANUCCGCCUGGGGAGUACGACCGCAAGGUUGAAACUCAAAGGAANUUGANGGGGGCCCGCACAAGCGGUGGAGCAUGUGGUUUAAUUCGAAGCAACGCGAAGAACCUUACCAGGUCUUGACAUCCCGAUGCUAUUCUUAGAGAUAGGAAGUUACUUCGGUACAUCGGAGACAGGUGGUGCAUGGUUGUCGUCAGCUCGUGUCGUGAGAUGUUGGGUUAAGUCCCGCAACGAGCGCAACCCUUAUUGUUAGUUGCCAUCAUUAAGUUGGGCACUCUAGCGAGACUGCCGGUAAUAAACCGGAGGAAGGUGGGGAUGACGUCAAAUCAUCAUGCCCCUUAUGACCUGGGCUACACACGUGCUACAAUGGUCGGUACAACGAGUUGCGAGCCGGUGACGGCAAGCUAAUCUCUGAAAGCCGAUCUCAGUUCGGAUUGGAGGCUGCAACUCGCCUCCAUGAAGUCGGAAUCGCUAGUAAUCGCGGAUCAGCACGCCGCGGUGAAUACGUUCCCGGGCCUUGUACACA
rnacentral:rRNA from 1 species